AGCAAAUAGAUACCCGGGUAGUCCACGCUGUAAACGAUGAGAACUAGAUGUUGGGAGGGUUUGCCUCUCAGUGUCGCAGCUAACGCGCUAAGUUCUCCGCCUGGGGAGUACGGCCGCAAGGUUGAAACUACAAAGGAAUUGACGGGGGACCCGGCACAAGCGGUGGAGCAUGUGGUUUAAUUCGAUGCAACGCGAAGAACCUUACCUGGUCUUGACAUCCCGGGAACCCCGCAGAGAUGUGGGGGUGCCUUCGGGAACCCGGGAGACAGGUGCUGCAUGGCUGUCGUCAGCUCGUGUCGUGAGAUGUUGGGUUAAAGUCCCGCAACGAGCGCAACCCUUGUCCGUAGUUGCCAUCAUUCAGUUGGGCACUCUACGGAGACCGCCGGUGACAAAUCGGAGGAAGGUGGGGACGACGUCAAGUCAUCAUGGCCCUUAUGACCAGGGCUACACA
rnacentral:rRNA from 1 species